rnacentral:lncRNA from 1 species
CUUGUUUUUUCUUUCUCUAAGAUUUCAUUCUUCUGGUUUAACCUUAUGAAAGCUUCAGUCAUUGAUAAGCAGGUCGCAAAAUAUUAUUUUAUCUGUGUCUUUUUUGAUCUUCUAUUGCAUCUUUUCUGGGUUUUGUUUGAGUGCUGGGGAAAUAUAGUAAUUUGGUCCUAGUAUUCCUCUAGCGUAAUCUAGUGCUUCAGUAAAAUCAUUAAAACCUUUAAAAAGUGAUUUUUGUAUGUCUUUAAUAGAGUCUAAUACUUCUAUCCACGUUUGAAAAAUAAUCAUUAAAACCUUUAAAAAGUGGUUUUUGUAUGUAUUUAGUAGAGUCGAAUACUUCUAUCCACGUUUGAAAAAUACCAGUUGCCUUACCGUGUACAACCACGUAGUAUUUAAACCUUUUUACUUGAUUUUUGUCUGUAAAAUAUUGCCCCAAUGCUAUAACAUAUUUAGUGUCUUUCUUAUUAUAUGCUAUCCCUAGGUUAUCAAUUAAACAUCUCUGAGGUCUAUUUAUAACACAUUCUGGUAAAACUCUAAAUGACAUAUUCGAUGGUGGAAAAAUAUUAAAUUAUGCUUCCCGUAAUUUAUUCUUUCUAUAUUAUUUUGUUCCGUAAUGGGUUGUGGCUUAAAAUGAAGGUUACCUAAUACUGUCUGCAAGUAUUUGUCUGAGGGUGAGGCUUGAACUAUAUUAUUUUGUUCCGUAAUGGGUUGUGGCUUAAAAUGAAGGUUACCUAAUACUGUCUGCGUCUGAGGGUGAGGCUUGAACGCCUUUUCCCUUGUCUUCAGUCUUGGGAACUGUUAGUCUCAUUCUGUACAUGUAAAAUAUUCUUAUCAAUUAACAAUAAUUUUUAGCCUACUUAAAGUGUCUGCUUAAUUAUUAUCUUUUCCUUUAAUAUGUUCAAAAACUAAAUUUUAUAUUAAUAUUGUAUCAAUAAAAUUUAACCAUCUCCUUCUACUACUAUUUUUUGAAUUUACCUUUUGGUGAAAUUUGACAAUAGCUUCACAAUCAGUUCUAAUUAUUACUUCUUGUUUGUUUAAUAUGUAUAAUUUAAAACUAUUUAAUCCAUAGAUUACAGCUAGAAUUUCUGUGUCUAUACUGCUCAUAUUUCCUUUCACUUUAUAUUUGCCACUUUGAUACGCACAUAUUUUUUCUCUACCCUAUCACUAUAUUUAUUUGGUUUUGCUUUUAAAACUGCUCCACAUCCCUCAAAACUUCCAUCUGUUUCUAUAAUUAAAUAGUCAGUUUCUAAUGGCAUAGUUAGAUCCGAAAUAUUUUUUAUUUUUUCUUUAUUUUUUUGUACUAAUUUAAUAUCUUCUGUAUUAAAAUGUUUUUGUCCUGUAGAUCCUGUCUUAGCAUAUAAUGGUCCUGCUAUUUUUCCUAAGUUUUUUAUAAAAUUUCUUGCAUAAUUUACUAUUCCUAGAAACUUUUGUAAUUCUAUUUUUCCCAAGUCUUUGAUUAAAUUUCUUGCAUAAUUUACUAUUCCUAGAAACUUUUGUAGUUCUUUAAUAUUUUCUAAUUUAUCUGGCAUUUCUAAAACUUUUUAGUUAUAUGGGGUUGUAGCUUAAUCUUCUCAUCCCCUAGAACUACUCCUAAAAAGUUUAUAUAAUUUUUAUAUAAUUUUAUUUUCUUUUUACUUAUAAUUAUUCCAUUAUCUACAAAUAAUCUAAAUACUGUUUGUAGAUGUCCUAAGUGUUCUUUUAUAUCUUUACUGAAUUGCUAAUGAUUAUUCCAUUAUCUACAAAAUAAUCUAAAUAUUGUCUGUAGAUGUCCUAAGUGUUCUUUAAUAUCUUUAUUGAAUACUAAUAUAUCAUCUACAUAUACUAAAACAAACCAUUUAUAUUCUACAAAUAUAUUAUCCAUUUUUCUUUGGAAAAUUGGUGGAGCUGUUUUUAAUCCAAACGGUAUUACUAACCAUUCGAAAUGCCCUUUUGGACAAGUAAAUGAUGUCCAUUCGAUACUUUCUUCAUGCAUUUUUACUUGCCAAUAUCCUGANNNNNNNNNNNNNNNNNNNNNNNNNNNNNNNNNNNNNNNNNNNNNNNNNNNNNNNNNNNNNNNNNNNNNNNNNNNNNNNNNNNNNNNNNNNNNNNNNNNNNNNNNNNNNNNNNNNNNNNNNNNNNNNNNNNNNNNNNNNNNNNNNNNNNNNNNNNNNNNNNNNNNNNNNNNNNNNNNNNNNNNNNNNNNNNNNNNNNNNNNNNNNNNNNNNUAUAUAUUCUGGGUUUAUUAUGUCUAAUUUACACAUCACUUUAUUAUUUUCCCAGUGCUUUAAAGGUUUUUCUCCGAUUAUUUCUAUCUCAUCUAAAAAAUUUAUUAUAUUCUCUUGAUCUUUUUCAUUCUUUAUUAUUCCUAUUCUUUGUAAUCAUGUUUUGAAAUUGUAUAAUUAUGUUUCUAUGUCUAAUAAUGUAUAGUCCUUUUCUAUUAUAUCUCUAUCUUCAUUUCUUAUUAAAGUUUUUGUUUCUUCUUUAGUCCUACAGCAUGUUUUGUUAUCUUUACAUUUUUUACAACAUUCUUUCUCGCUUUCUUGCAGUUUUUUCUGGUUUUCAUUCAAUCUUGUCCUUAUCCUAGUUGCGGCUUCUAUUGUUUGUACUGGUGUUUGUGUAAUGUUUUUAAAGAAUAUUACCUCAUCUCUACUAAGCAAACAACUACCAUUAUUGUGUAAUAUAAAGCUCAAUCCUAAUAUAAAAUCUACAUUUAUAUUUAAAUCUCUUACCCAAAUUUUAUCUACCUUAUAGCUUGGUUUGUAAAAAUCUAAGCAUGUAUUUACAAAAACUAAUCUGUGAUUUAUCUAUAUAAUAUUUAUAAAUGUUAUGGGUUCCAUCUAUUUGCAUGGCUUCUACUGGCUUGUCUAAUAUUUUUAUUAAAUUAGGUGGAACUAUCCUCUUAUUUAUUAUACAUCNNNNNNNNNNNNNNNNNNNNNNNNNNNNNNNNNNNNNNNNNNNNNNNNNNNNNNNNNNNNNNNNNNNNNNNNNNNNNNNNNNNNNNNNNNNNNNNNNNNNNNNNNNNNNNNNNNNNNNNNNNNNNNNNNNNNNNNNNNNNNNNNNNNNNNNNNNNNNNNNNNNNNNNNNNNNNNNNAGGCAUCAUAAUUUUCUAUACUCAUUAGUUCUUUAUCUUCAUCAGUUGAUGUAUUUCCUCUUAUAUCUUCUCAUUUUUCUUUUCCCUUUUCCAUUUUUUGUAUUCUUUUUUCUAAUUCAUUUAUUCUAUUUUCUANNNNNNNNNNNNNNNNNNNNNNNNNNNNNNNNNNNNNNNNNAUUCAUUUAUUCUAUUUUCUAAUGUAAUUAUUCUUAGAUUUAUAAUAGAAUUAUUUGUCUCUUGAUAGAUUUCUUCUUUAUUUAUUUUUGUUUUAAAAUUUUUUUCUAUACAUGAAAUACAUCCUUCUAGAUAGCAUAAUACAUUUAGCUCUUUUAUUUCUACUGAGAUACUAUUUACAUUUAAAUCACUGGUUGCUACCUAAACCUUUAUUUAUUUUAAACUUAUGGGUACAUUCUUCAAAUAUAUUUACAAAGUUAUUUUUUUUAGGUCUAGUUUUUCUAGUCCUAUCUCAUUGAUUAACUCUUCUUCUUCUGACUCUGAGGUUUCUAUUUGGGUGUCAUCUACACCUACACUUACUAUAGAAAAUAUACUUUCAUUCUCUGGCAUAUAUUCAUCUACAUUUAUUAGAAUUUAUUUAAAAUCUUCUAUUAACUGUGAAUUUCUUGUUUUAGUAUUGAUUCUUUUUGGGCAGGUGUUGGAUAAUUGUUCUACACUCCCACAAGUAAAACAUUCUAGUUUGUUUUUAUAGUUUCUUUAUGUUCUAUACUUUCUAACAUGCCUAUUUCUAUCUAAAUAGGGUUUUCUAGCUGAUGAUUUUCUAAGAUAAUAAUUUAUCUUAUUAUAUUCUUUAUUGUANNNNNNNNNNNNNNNNNNNNNNNNNNNNAGAGUUUUCUAGCUGAUGAUUUUCUAAGAUAAUAAUUUUUCUUAUUAUAUUCUUUAUUGUAUUGGGGUUUAUAUCUUUUAUAUUUCUUCUUUUUGUAUUCUUUUUUGUCAUAACUUUUGUUGCAUAUACUAUUGAUUUACAUAAACUCAUAUUGUUCUAUUUUAGUUGUUUUUGUAUUUGCAAGUUUGUACAUUUUUCUUGUAAUAUUUCCAUAGUAUGUUGUACUUUGUGCCCUAUAGACCAUUUUGUAUUUGAAUUUUGUAUUACACCUUCUCUUUNNNNNNNNNNNNNNNNNNNNNNNNNNNNNNNNNNNNNNNNNNNNNNNNNNNNNNNNNNNNNNNNNNNNNNNNNNNNNNNNNNNNNNNNNNNNNNNNNNNNNNNNNNNNNNNNNNNNNNNNNNNNNNNNNNNNNNNNNNNNNNNNNNNNNNNNNNNNNNNNNNNNNNNNNNNNNNNNNNNNNNNNNNNNNNNNNNNNNNNNNNNNNNNNNNNNNNNNNNNNNNNNNNNNNNNNNNNNNNUAUUACUGAGUUCCACAUUUGUGGAUCAUGGGCUGCUAUAUUUAAUAUUUUACCUUUACUUCCUCCCUCUUGUAAUCUUAUAGGUUCUUCUAUUAGCAUCCUUUUUCUGAUGGUCUUACUUUCUAUUUCUGUUUCCUGGUCUAUUCUGUGUACUCUUCUUCUAUGUACAUUUCCCGUACUAGUAUCUACAGUACUUUGAUAUGUUGUUCUCUGAAAUGGGCUUGGGCUAGAACUAACUGAUUCCAUUAAUUCUUUUAAUCUUAUUACUGAAUCUGUUUCUGUUUCAUAGCUAUCUUGUAUUUCUUCAAAAAUUUGUUCAAAUUUAUCCGAUUUCUCUUGUAACUUAUUUUCUUUUCUAUAUCCCAAAUUAUCUUUUCUUAAUUCGCAUUUUCUAUAAUGUUUUUCUACAUUUCUUAAAGUUAAUUUUCCUGGUUUACAUCCUUUGCAUUGGAAAGUGCUAUUUUUGUUUUCUUUAACUAAUUUUCUUGCUUCUUNNNNNNNNNNNNNNNNUUAUUCUUAUUUUCUCUAACUAAUUUUCUUGCUUCUUCUAUUGCGAUGUCUACUUCAAAUUCUUCAUGUAUUAUUUCAACAUUCAUACAUUCAGUUUCAUCAACUUUAUUUUCAUCUUCAUCAUCUAUAUCUUUAUGAUUAGAAUAAUUAUAAUCAGUAAACCUAAUUGACGUUUCUCCUUUAGAAUUUGUAUACAUCAAAUGAGAUUCUGGUUUAAAUAUUUUUGGUUUCGGAAAAUCUUCUAAGUUCCAUUGUAAUCCCGCGUAUUAUUCUGGGUCUAUCUUAAUAGAUUUUAAUAAUUUUAUCCCGUUAUUUCCCAUUACUUCUGCUACAUUGUCUACUUUAAUUUUAAAUUUUGUAUUGCUAUUUGUUGCCAUUUUUCCUUUAAAACCUACAUAUAUUAUUAGAUUGUUUCCAUUAUUCAUUUCUUCAUAUCCUUUAGUCUGUAUUCCUAUUUUUAUAUUUUUUUCAAAUAGAUUAUUUCCAUUAUUCAUUUCUUCAUAUACUUUAGUCUGUAUUCCUAUUUUUAUUUUUUUUCCAAAUUCUGCUAGAUUUAUCAUAUAAUCUGGGCUAAUAUAUAAUAUUCCUCCAUUAUUUGUCAUAUCUACUUAUGUUAAACCUAUUAUAGAUUUCUUUUGAUCUGACCAACUGUCAUCAUAUACUACUAUUAAUACUUUAGUUCCUAGAUUUUUUCUUGUUAAUCCUUUUAAUCCAAUUACUUUUAAUCCCAUAUGCAUUAAAUUCCUUUUAUAUUUUUUUAUUUGGUUUACUGAUUCUGGAUUGAUUAAGUUUAAUGUCUCAACUUUAUUUCAUAUAGCUGACAAUUGUUCUUCUCUAUAAUGUCUAUAUAGUUGAGAAUAGGUCGAGAAAUAUCCUGUAUUAUAUAGUAUUUUGGAUCUAAUAAUCUUAAUUGAUUUUGCUGGAAAAUUUGUAUGUCUUUAUCUAUAUCUAUUAUUUCAUCUAAUUUUUUAUCUUCCUCUUGUCUUUUUCUAGUUAGAAUUCUGGCUAGCAUAUUGUUUCAUAUUCAAUUUUCUGAAAAACUUAUCCUUGAUCUUUCUUGAUUUGUUCUUCUUGACCCACUUGGAGCAUAUUGUUUCCUAUUCUAUUUUCUGAAAAAGUUAUGCUUGAUCUUUCUUGAUUUGUUCUUCUUGACCCACUUGGAAAAAGGUCCAUUUUUGUGGCUCUAUUUUUAUUAAUUUUUCUUUAUGUGGUGUUAUUUCAACUCUUUUUUAUUGAUCUAUUAAAUCGUCAACCUUUGGGAUCUAAGUGUUUAUUUUUUUUCUUUAAUAAUUUCAUCUAGCUUUUUAUUAACCUCUAAUAGUAAUAUUAUUAUUGUAUUAUUUUAUUUUAUUAUUGUUGGUCAGCUUUUCGUUGAGGAAUAUACUUACUUAGUCCUUCUGGAUUGGGUUGAAUUUUUUCUGUUAAUUUUAAUACUUCUUCAUAUAUUGGAUCUAAUUUUACUUGUAUAUCACUCAUGAAAGAGCGAUUUCUUUUAUUGUGUCUAUCUUUUCUUUAAGUGCGCUUAUCUCUNNNNNNNNNNNNNNNNNNNNNNNNNNNNNNNNNNNNNNNNNNNNNNNNNNNNNNGCACUUAUCUCACCUUUCAAUACUUCUACCUGUUCAGUUAUUUUUUCUACUAAUCUGGUUGUUUGUAUUUCUUACUCUUUAGGCUUUUCUGUAAUAGUCUUGAUUAACUUUUCUAUUUCGUUUUUAGUAGGUAUUUUUUCUACAUUAAAGAGUUGUAUUAUCCUGUCUAUUUCUAGUUCUUGUGAUUUUAUAAAAUCUAAAUUUUGUUCUAAUUUUUCUAAAAUCCUUCUUCGUUUAUGGUGUCCAGCCUCUACUAACUCUAAUGUUCUUAUUAUGUUUUUAUUAUUGUCUUGGGUUUUUUCNNNNNNNNNNNNNNNNNNNNNNNNNNNNNNNNNNNNNNNNNNNNNNNNNNNNNNNNNNNNNNNNNNNNNNNNNNNNNNNNNNNNNNUCCGAUCUAAGAAACAAAAAAUCUAAUAUUAGACGAAAACGAAGAUAGAGAAUAAAUCAAUUAAAGUAUUUUAUUGUUUAUCUUCAGUAUGUAAUAUAUGCUCUCCACUACUAAAAUUACACUUUAUUACCGUAUUAUCUUUUUAUAUUCUAUAUUUCUUUUCUGGAUGGAUUUUCAAGUCUAAAUAUUCUAAGUUUUUUAAAUUAGCUAUUUUGUUUUAUCCUAAGGGUAUCAAAAAAUUUUUAUUCUUAUAGAACUUCAUUCUUUGAUUUUCGAAAUAUAUUUGUCCUUCCGUAUAUUGUAUCUCCUACUCUAGAGCUGAUAUAGUUUCUGGACUAAUAAUACAUUUUACUAUGCAACUUGGUUCUCUAUUUAUUUUUAAUUCUAAUUCUUCUGUUUGUUUAGCUAAUUCUAAAAUUGAUGUUAAUAGGUAUUAGUCUUUUUUAAUACUUUCUUUAAUUCCUACUUUCUCGUUAUAUCCCUUCUUAAAAUCCAGUAGUGAAAUGCGAUUUCUUCAUUAAUAGAGUAUUAGUCUUUUUUAAUACUUUCUUUAAUUUCUGCUUUCUCGUUAUAUCCCUUCUUAAAAUUCAAUAAUGAAAUGCGAUUUAUUUAGUUAACGGAUGUUGUUUUAACAUAGGUAUCACCCUAAUGGGAUAUAUUUUAUUUUAUUCUUAAUUAUUCUAAGAUAGAUCUUUUCUUGUUCUAUUUCAAAAUUAAUUCUUUGUAUUUCAAAAAGAAGAAAGUUCUUUAAAUUAUCUGUGUUUAAUUUACUUAGUUCUAGUUUACUAACAAAUAUUUUGUUGUAGUUCUAAUGUCUUUUUAUAUUCUAUGUGAUUUUUUAUAUUUUCUAUAGUAAUAUAGGUUAUAUGAUAACAACAGCUUAUAUAUUUAGCAAAAUAAUGUUGUUUCAUAAACACUAAGGUUCGAAAAUCUUCUAGCACCAAAAUAAAAAUAAAAUACCAAAAUAAAAUAGACUUUCUAAUCUUCUUUCUUUCUAUGUCUUCUACUUAUUGUCUUCUUUCUAAGUUUAAAUAGUAAUAUCUAGAAAGACUAGAUAAAUGAAUUUCUAGUAUUCUGAUUAUAAGAAAUAAUUGUUUAUUAUAUAUAUCUACGCAAAUUCUAUAAUUUUUUGUUAUAUAUAUAAAAUGUAUAGUGUAGUCUACUAUUGAGUAAAAUCCGGGAUCUACGUCUAAAAUAAAUUCUCCUAGACUUGAAGUAAGGCUUCUAACAAAGCUUUCUGGGUAGGUAUAGUUAUUACGGUUACCAAACAUUAACAGCGUAAUAAAAAUGUUUCAAACUUUAUGUUGUAAAAAUCCUACUCGGUACUUUCCCUCUCUUUUUCUGUAAACUUAUAACGUUACACUAUAAUCAUAAUUAUGUACUAAGAUUACCCCUUUUACACUUUUUUUUACUCUGUUCAUCUCUUCUCUCCAAUUCUUUAUAGAUUUAAAUCCAUUCUUAACUCUUUUUUCUUUAACCUCACCCUGGCCAUGGUUAAGUACACAUACACUUGAAUUAUCUUAACCACUUGUUUCCUAGGAAUUUACAGGUUAAUCCAUCAAAAUUGAUAAGAAAUUGGAAAGAUAACCGUAUACUAAGAGUAAUAUUUAAAUAUUUACAAACUGACAAAAACUAUGCAUAGUAAAUAUCAUAAGCAUAAAAAGGAAACAGGGGUAAUAUCUUAGAACAUAACUUAGAUAAACAUAAGUAACUUACUUGUUUACAAGAGAUGGAAUUUCCCUUUCGGGAAACUCGAAAAGAGUUUUGCUGAACUUCAAGAUUUAAAAACGAUCACACCUAAGCAUACAAUCUUUAUUUAUUUUACAAACUUAGAGAACCCUUUCGGGAAAACCUGAUACCAAACUGAAAAGAGUUUUGUUGAACUUCUAGAUUUAAAAACGAUCACACCUAAGCAUACAAUCUUUAUUUAUUUUAAAAGCUUAGAGGAGGAACUACUAGGAUAUUCAUAAAGGAAAUAUUUUACAAAGUGGUUGGGAAAUGUCUUUUGGUUUUAUGGAAUGGUUGGUUGAGUAGGCUUUUUUCAGAGUGUUUUUCUUCUUUUUUCUCGAUGAUCCUUUCUUCUACUUUGUCUUGCUUUUAUAGCUAAACUUUGGAGCGGAUUCGAAAUAUGGACUUCAAUUAUUUUUAGAAAUCUUUGUCUUCUAGCCUUGUAGGGAACUUCAUUGGGCCCCAUCUUCACAUGGCUUGUGCAGAAAUUCCAUUUAGUCGUCCACGUUUGCCACAUACAUCUCUUUUUAUGUCACGUCUGGUCCCAUGAACUUUGGAGCGGAUUUGAAAUAUGGACUUUAAAUAUUUUUAGAAAUCUUUGUCUUCUAGCCUUGUAGGGUACUUCAUUGGGGCCCAUCUUCACAUGGCUGGUGCAGAGAUUCCAUUUUAUGUCGUCCACUUUUUUCUCAUUCAUUUGUCUUUAUAUCACAUCCGUCACAUCUGGUCCUACUUAUUGUCUCCUCCAUUAUUGUUCUUUGUCUCCUUCUUGAUUUAUUAUUUCCAUUUAGUCGUCCACGUUUUCCACAUACAUCUCUCGUUAUGUCACGUCUGGUCCCAACUUGUUGUCUCCACCAUUAAUGUUCUUUGUCUUUUUCUUGAUUCAUUAAUUCUGAAGAAUAACUCUAUUUUCAUUUGUCUAAAUUAUGAAGUGCUAUUGAAUCAAAACUCAUCCCUGAAUCGUAGUCUUCAUAUGGAUCUUGAUCAUCGUGAUAAUUCAGGUGGUCUUCAUUAUCAUCUCUUCCUGAGCUUUGAGACCUUUCUGGACUGGACCUUUACCCCUUUGGACUGGGACUAGGGUUUUUUAUCAUAUGUUUGUCUUGUUUUUCUUUUUGCUGAAAGAAAUUCUCUAAUGUCUGUUUAAUUACAUCUUCUAUUUUCUCUUUUUUUCUUUUUAACAAUUGUACUCUUUUUUUUUAAUGUUUCUCCGAGUGUUAAUGUUCUGGGUAGCCUUCGACUUGAUGAGCUUUCUUCUUCACUUUUUGGCAAAAUGCUCAUUAUCGUCUCCUCCUGAGCUUUAGGAUCUUUCUAGACUGGACCUUUCUAGAUGAAUUUAGACAGGGAUGAGUUUUGAUUCAAUAGCACUACAUAAUUUAGACACAUGAAAAUAGAGUUAUUCUUCAGAAAUAAUGAAUCAAGAAAAAGAAGAAGAACAAUAAUGGUGGAGACAACAAGUAGGGACCAGACAUGACAUAAAGAGAGAUGUAUGUGGAAAUCGUGGACGACUAAAUGGAAUCUCCUCACAAGCCAUGUAAAGAUGGGGCCAAAUGAAGUACCCUACAAGGCUAGAAAAAAAUAUUUGAAGUCCAUCUUUCAAAUCCGCUCCAAAGAUCAGCUAUAAAAGCAAGACAAAGUAGAAGAAAGGAUCAUCGAGAAAAAAGAAGAAAAAUACUCUGAAAAAAAGCUUACUCAACCAACAUUUCCAUAAAACCAAAAGACCUUUCCCAGCCACUUUGUAAAAUAUUUUCUUUAUGAAUAUCCUAGUAGUUCCUCCUCUAAGCUUCUAAAAUAAAUAAAUAUUGUUUGCUUAGGUAUGAUCAUUUUUAAAUCUAGAAGUUCAGCAAAACUCUUUUCGGCUUUUCCGAAAGGCAAAUCCCAUAUCUUGUAAAUAUGUAAGUUACUUAUGUUUAUCUAAGUUAUGUUCAAAGAUAUUACCCAUGUUUCCUUCUUAUGCUUAUGAUAUUUAUUAUGCAUAGUUUUUGUCAGUCUGUAAAUAAUUAAAUAUCACUCUUAGCAUAUGGUUAUCUUUCCAACUUCAUAACAGUUUUGAUGGAUUAACCUGUAAAUUCCUAGGAAACAACUGGUUAAGAUAAAUCAAGUGGUAUGUGUACUUAACCAUGGCCAGGGUGAGGUUAGUGAAAAAAGAGUUGAGAAUGGAUUUAAAUCUAUAAAGAAUUGGAGAGAAAAGAUGAACAGAGUAAAAAAAAAAAAAGAAUAGAAAGGGUAAUCGUAGUACAUAAUUAUGAUCAGUGUAACGUUAUAAGUUUACAGAAAAAGAGAGGGAGAGUACCGAGUAGGAUUUUUACAACAUAAAGAUUAAACCAUUUUUACUACGCUGUUAAUGUCUGGUAACCGUAAUAACUAUACCUACCCAGAAAGCGUUACUAGAAGCCUUACUUCAAGUCUAGGAGAAUUAAUUUUAGACAUAGAUACCAGAUUUAACUCAAUAGUAGACUACGCUAUACAUUUUAUUUAUAUAACAGAAAAUCAUAGAAUUUGCGUAGAUAUAUAUAAUAAACAAUUAUUUCUUUUAAUCAAAAUACUAGAAAUUCAUUUAUCUAGUCUUUCUAGAUAUUACUAUUUAAACUUAGAAAGAAGGCAAUAAGUAGAAGACAUAGAAAGAAAAAAGAUUAGAAAGUCAUUUAUAUAUAUAUAUAUAUAUAUAUAUAUAUGGAUGGGGCUCCUUCAGCCCAAGCUCUAUAAUACUGCGGCGUGCAGCCCGAUCCAUAUAAUAUAUAUAGUGCUGCGACGUGCAGCCCGAUCCAUAUAAUAUAUAUAGUGCUGCGACGUGCAGACCGAUCCAAUAUAAUAUAUAUAAUGUUGCGACGUGCAGCCCGAUCCAAUAUAAUAUAUAUAAUGUUGCGGCGUGCAGCCCGAUCCAAUAUAAUANNNNNNNNNNNNNNNNNNNNNNNNNNNNNNNNNNNNNNNNNNNNNNNNNNNNNNNNNNNNNNNNNNNNNNNNNNNNNNNNNNNNNNNNNNNNNNNNNNNNNNNNNNNNNNNNNNNNNNNNNNNNNNNNNNNNNNNNNNNNNNNNNNNNNNNNNNNNNNNNNNNNNNNNNNNNNNNNNNNNNNNNNNNNNNNCCCCUCUCAGUCAAUAUAGACUUGGCCUCUCGGGCCCACUCAGCUAAGACAGGGUAUUCAACCCUAGGUAUUUCUCAUUUAGGGUGCAAAUUAUUACGUCCAGUUUAUUUCAUGAUUUACAGUCAAAGUCAGUAUAGAUGGUAUGUGUUCAAUAGGUAUAGUGAGGCCAAUCAGCUCAACAUGCUCCCUAGGAGUUAUACAGAUCGGCACAAGGCCCAAAAAUGGAAACUAGCCCAAAAUAUACGGGUACAAACUCAGUCUUAGUCAAAAAGUGUAGUAAGUCAUCAAUCGAGAUGGACCAAGUCCAAAUCCCCAGUAGGAACAUCACCACGCUCAUCAUAUGACGCGUGUAUUAUCUCAACAUUACACCGCAUAGUGCAAAUAUGGGGUUUCAAACCCUCAGUAUAUCAUUCAUAACCAUUACUCACCNNNNNNNNNNNNNNNNNNNNNNNNNNNNNNNNNNNNNNNNNNNNNNNNNNNNNNNNNNNNNAGUAUAUCAUUCAUAACCAUUACUCACCUCAAACCGGCCAAAAUCCUAGCUCGCCUUGCGCUUUCCUCGCAAAUCGACCUCCUCGAGUGCAUAAUAUGAUCAACCACAAGGAAUAUGUUAUAAUAGGCUAAUGGGACAUAACCCAAAAAAUUACUAAAUUUACAUCACCGAAAUCCUCGUCUCGCCACGAGUACGUACGUAUCAAAUUUACAAGAAUCGGAGUCCAUUUGACCCUCAAAUCAACACUUUAAUCUCACUUGGGUUUCAAGCCCUAACCACCAUUUUUAACCUUGAAUUCGUAGUGUUUAAUCCAUGUUUUUUACACUAUAAUGACAUACUCUAAGUCCAAGAAUCCAUACCUGAUGGAUUCCCCCAAAAUCCUCUUCAAAAUCGCUUCCAAACUUGCGUUAUCCGAGGUCCAAAUGUUCUUCUCUAUUUAAAAUUUUGAAAAUCACUAUUCAUUUAACCCAGCACGAUUUUCGCUUCUGCAGUCUUACCUCCCUUAUGCGGCUCUCGCUUCUGCGGCCUCUCAACCUCUUUUGCGAUCCUAAUAAUUCUCCCAGGGACUACUUUUGCGGUCAACUUCCGCUUACGCGAUCACCGCCUAUGCGGUCUUUCCUUCCGCUUCCGCGAUCCAGGUCAUCUUCUCAUUGUCCGCUUUUGCGGCUCACCCCCCGCGUCUGCGUAACCGCGUAAUAGAAUCCUUUUCCGCAGAUGUGGAAAUAGCAGAAGCAGCUCACAAAAAACCCCAAAAACUCCUACAACCUCCGAUCAACCAUCCGGAAUUACCCCGAGGCCCCCGGGGCCUAAACCAAAAACACAUAUAUGAUCUAAUACCUUAUUCGAACUUGCUAGAGCCAUAAAAACACUAACAUUAACACCAAAAAUCACCAAAUUCCUCCAAUCCAAGCCUAAGUUUCAUAAGAACUUCCAAAAUGCACAUACGACCAAAAGUCCAAACUAACGACAUCCAAAUGACCUAGAAAUUUGUAGACAUAUCCAAAUCACCUAAUGAAGUUACUGCAACUCUCGAAAUCCCAUUUUUACCCACAAAUCAAAAUCUCAACUAUCAACCAGAAUUCGCCGAAAUUCAUUCUUAGCCAAUUCAAGACUAAUUCUACACCGGACAGCCAAAUUCAGUUCUGAUUUCACUCCCAAGUCAUAAAUCAUCACCCAAAACUAGUCGAACUGUCAGAAACCCAUUUCGAGCCCUAUAACUCAUAUGUCAACAUCUAGUUGACUUUUCCAAACUAGCCUUCCCUUAAAGCGAUUAAUUGUCUCAAUUCCAACCAAACUCUGUCCAAAUCACUUCAAACUCUAUAAACACAUAUAAUGAAAGAUAUAGAAGCAUAAAAUGGGGAAAACGGGGAGGUAACUCAUGUGACGACGGGCCGAGUCGUCACAUCCUCCCCGACUAAAACAAACGCUCGUCCUCCAGCGGGUCAAGAAACAUACCUAGAGCCUCAAACAAACAAAGAUAUCUGCUCCGCAUCUCCUGCUCGGUCUUCAAAAUUUCCUCCUCCACGGGCCGACCUCUCCACUUCACCUUCACCAAAGCUAUGUUCUUUGAUCUCAACUUUCGAACCUGUCAACCCAAAAUAGCCAAUGGCUCCACAUCAUAAGUCAAGUCCUCAUCCAACUGGAUCGUGCUGAAGUCUAAUACAUGAGACGGGUCCCCAACAUAUUUCCUGAGCAGAGAAACAUGAAACACCGGGUGAACCCCUGACAAGCUGGGUGGCAAAGCAAGCAUAUAGGCCACCUCCCAAUCCUCCUGAGUAUCUCAAAAGGUCCAAUGAACCGCGGACUCAGCUUCCAUUUCUUUCCAAACCUCAUCACGUCUUUCAUAGGAGAAACCUUCAACAAAACCUUCUCGCCCACCAUAUAAGAUACAUCCCGAACCUNNNNNNNNNNNNNNNNNNNNNNNNNNNNNNNNNNNNNNNNNNNNNNNNNNNNNNNNNNNNNNNNNNNNNNNNNNNNNNNNNNNNNNGGUGAUCCGCAUAACUCUUCUGACACGACUGAGCCGUACGAAGUCUCUCCUGGAUAACUUUCACUUUCUCUAAGGAAUCAUGAGCUAACUUUGUCCCCAAUAGUCUAUCCUUACCGGGCUCAAACCAGCAAACUGGAUAUCUACACUGACUCCUAUAUAAAUCCUCAUGCGACGCCAUUUGAAUGAUGUACUGAUAACUCCUAUUAUAAGCAAACUCUGCAAAUGGCAAGAACUCCGCCCAAGAACCUCCAAAAUCAAUAACACAGGCACGUAACAUGUCCUCUAAUAUCUGAAUAGUAUGCUCGGACCGUCCGUCCUUCCGAGGGUGAAAAGUCGUGCUCAUCUGUAUCUGAGUACCCAACUCCCGAUGAAAACUUCUCUAGAAUUAGGAAGAAAACUGAGUACCCCUGUCUGAGAGAAUAGAAACUAUAACCCCAUGCAAUCGCACAAUCUCACAGAUGAAAAUCUUGGUCAGCCUAUCCAUAUCACGCAAAUAGAAUCAAAGUUCCUCGAGGUAUGAGGGAAACCACUCACAAAGUCCAUAGUAAUCCUCUCCCAUUUCCACUCUGGAAUAUCCAUCUGCUGGAGUACACCACCAGGUCUCUGAUGUUCAUACUUGACCUGCUGACAAUUGAGACACCUACCCGCAUAACUCACAAUGUCCUUUUUCAUUCUCCUCCACCAGUAAUGCUUCCUCAAGUCUGGUCUCUGAUUUUGAUAUUUGACCUGCUGACAAUUUAGAAAUUGAGCCACAUAACUCACAAUAUCCUUUUUUCAUUCUCCUCCACUAAUAAUGCUGCCUCAAGUCCUGGUGCAUCUUCGCGGCACCCGGAUGAAUAGAAUACCACGAGCUGUGGGGCUCCUCUAAUAUGAACUCUCGGAGCCCAUGUACAUUGGGCACGCAAAUCCGGCCCUGCAUCCAUAACAUACCAUCACUGCCAGUAGUCAGAUCUCUGGCAUCAUCAUGUUGGACAAUGUUCUUCAGGACAAGCAAAUGCGGGUCAUCAUACUGGCUCUCCCUGAUGCAACCGUACAAAGAAGAUCGGGAAACCACAAAAGCCAACACCCGGCUGGACUCUGAAAUAUCUAACCUCACCAUCCGAUUAGCCAAGUCCUGAACAUCAACUGCAAGGGGCCUCUCCCCAACUGGAAUGUACACCAAGCUGCCCAUACUCACCGCCUUCCGUCUCAAAGCAUCGGCCACUACAUUGGCCUUCCCCGGAUGAUACAAUAUGGUAAUAUCAUAGUCCUUGAGUAACUCAAGCCACCUCCGCUACCUCCAAGCUACCCAUACUCACCGCCUUCCGUCUCAAAGCAUCGGCCACUACAUUGGCCUUCCCCGGAUGAUACAAUAUGGUAAUAUCAUAAUACUUGAGUAACUUAAACCAUCUCUGCUUAAACAAGUGCUGAAGACUACGAUGAUCCGUGAACACCUCACAAGACACGCCAUAUAGAUAGUGCCGUUAAAUCUUCAAAGCAUGAAUUAUAGCAACCAACUCCAAGUCAUGAACAGGGUAAUUCUUUUCAUGAGGCUUUAGAUGACGUGAAGCAUACGCAAUAACUCUACCCUCCUGCAUCAAUACGCAUCCGAUCCCAACUCUUGAAGCAUCACAUAUACGGAGUAAGAGCCUGAAGUUGAUGGCAAUACUAGUACUGGAGCCGUAGUCAAAGCUGACUUGAGCUUUUGGAAGCUCUCCUCACACUCAUCCGAUCACACAAACGGAGCAUUCUUCUGCGUCAACUUCGUCAAAGGUUAAGUAAUAGAUGAAAAUCCCUGAACAAACCUAUGGUAAUAACCUGCCAAACCAAGGAAACUCCGAAUCUCAAUAGCUGAGGACUGCCUGGGCAAACUUUGCACCGCCUCGAUCUUCUUUGGGUCAACCUGAAUACCAUCAAUGGACACCACGUGUCACAGAAAAGCCACGGAACUGAUCCAGAACUCACACUUAGGGAACUUUGCAUAAAGCUUCUCCUCUCUCAACCUCUGCAAUAGCACCCUCAAGUGUUGUGCGUGCUCCUCCUGGCUACGCGAGUACCGCAGUAUAUCAUCAAUAAAUACGAUCACAAAAGAAUCAAGAUACGAUCGAAAUACACUGUUCAUCGGGUGAAUGAAUGCGGAUAAGGCAUUAUUCAUCCCAAAUGACAUAACCAGAAACUCAAAAUGCCCAUAUCUCAUCCUGAAAGCUGUCUUCGUGAUAUCACAAUCUCUAAUCUUCAGCUGGUGAUAGCCUGAACGGAGAUCAAUCUUAGAGAAUACUUUUGCUCUCUGAAGCUGGUCAAACAAAUCCUCAAUACGGGGUAGUGGAUACUUGUUCUUUAUUGUCACUUUGUUCAACUGUCUGUAAUCAAUGCACAUUCUCAUUAUGCUAUCAUGUGCAAAUAAUACCGUUGUUCUUUAUUGUCACUUUGUUCAACUGUCUGUAAUCAAUGCACAUUCUCAUUGUGCCAUCAUUGCAAAUAAUACCGGUGCGCCCCACAGCGACACACUCGGGCGAAUGAACCCCUUAUCUAGAACUUCCUGCAGUUGCUCCUUCAACUUCUUUAACUCUACUGGUGCCAUACGGUAGGGAGGAAUAGAGAUGGGCUGAGUGCCUGACACCAAAUCAUUACCGAAAUCAAUAUCCCUGUCCGGCGGCUUGCCCGACAGGUCUGAUGGAAACACAUCAGAAAAUUCCCUCACCACAGGGACCGAAUCAAGACUAGGAGCCUCAGCUCCAACAUCCCUCACAAAUGCUAGAUAUGAUAAACAUCUCUUCCCAACCAUCCGCUUGGCCUUUAAGAAAGAGAUUACCCUGCUGGGCACAUAAUCAUUCGUGCUACGCCGCACAAUCGUCGGAAUACCCGACAUAGACAAACAUACCUUUACAACCAUCCGAUGGGCCUUUAAGAAAGAGAUUACACUGCUAGGCACAUAAUCAGUCGUACCAUGCCACACAAUCCUCGGAAUACCCGGCAUAGCCAAUGUGACUGUCUUGGCAUGACAGUCCAAAAUAUUAUGGCACGGUGAUAGCCAAUCCAUGCCCAGAAUAACAUCAAAAUCUACCAUGCUCAAUGCAGCAAGUCAACUCGGGUCUCCACACCCCCAAUAGUAACCAAACAAGAUCGAUACACAUGGUCCACAAUAAUAGUAUCACCCACCGGGGUAGAUACAUGCACAGGUAACGCAAGACACCCUCGAGUAGUCCCCAAAUAAUGAGCAUAGUAAGAAGAUACAUAAGAAAUAUGUGUAUCCAAGAUCAAAUAAAACUGAGGCAUCCCUGUGGCAGACUGAAAUAAUACCUAUAAUAACAGCAUCCGAAGCAACAGCAUCUGACCGGCCCUGAAGGGCGUAGCAACGUCCCUGACUACCACUAAAUCGGCCUCCCCCUCUGGGGCGACCUAUAACUGCCUGACCCUCACCCCUAGCUGACUGGGCGGGUGCUCAAGGCACUGGGCCAGAAGAUAUAGGCUGGCCUUCUGCAGAGAUGAACUGGAUGCACGGCGGGGACAAUCCUUCCGUAUAUGCCCAAACUCACCACACUAAAAACAACUCUCCAGUGCUGGGGGCUGGGAAUGAAGGGAACCCCUCGCACCAGAGUAGCUGGCUGAAGAACUAGGACAAGAUGAGCCCUGAAUAGAUGUGGCAUGAGACGAACUCUACGCUGGAAGUGCACUCAGAGAUGGCUGACUCUGCUGGGAGCCCUGAUAACCCCGACCAGAAGAUGAACCACGGUACUCUGACCGAGAUGGCUGUGGAGGCCUGAAAGAAUGACCCCUGCUCUGCUGAAACUGCCCCUAGACGGAGCACCACUGGAGCCACUUGAUCCUCGACUCCUCUUGGCCUCCCUCUCUUCUCUCUCCCGAUGGCGAGCCGUCUCAAUAUCACGGGCUAUAUCCACCACCUCCUCAAAGGUGUGACUCAGGACCCUCUCACAAGUCAUCAGAAUACGGAUGGGAUAAAUGAGUCCGUCUACAAAUCGCCUGAUACUCUCCUGAUCCGUCAAAACCAUCCACGAAGCAUAGCGAGCUAAUUCUGUAAAUCUCACCUCAUACUGCGUCACAGGCAUAUCCCCCUGAUGAAGCCACUCAAACUGCCUGCGUAACUCCACCCUCUGUGACCGAAGUACGCACUUCCCAAAAAUAUAGUGGAUAACUCCUGCCAAGAUAACGGCGCUUCACCUGCCGGCCUACGCCGCUCAUAUUCCUCCCACCAUGUUAAGGCUUCUCUUGAGAACUGAAAAGUGGUAAAAGAUACUCCACUAGUCUCCAAGAUCCCUGCUGUCUGGAGCAUGCGUCGACACUAAUCGAGAAACCACUAGGCAUACUCGCCCGAAACACCGCUGAAAGUAGGAGGUGAAAGCCUGUUGAACCUCUCAAGACGACGCUGCUCAUCAUCUAGCAUCACUGGCACCCCAUCACCCUGAACUGGAACGACAUGCUGAACAGGGGCAACUGGCUGAACUGGUGGUGCCUCUGGGGUCUGCAAACCGUGUACACCCUGCUCUCGAGUGCGAGCUGCGAAGGUCUGAUGACCAUCCUCGGUCUGAGAUGUAGCUGCGAUAGCCGAGACUGCCUGAGCCAGGCCAGUGCAAACCAUAAGCUCUGAGCUAGGGCUUCUUGAAGACUCGGAAUCACAAUAGGCACAGCUGGUGCCUGAGCAGGUGCUACUGGAACCUCAAUAGAUGGAGGCUGAUCCUGAAUGGGGGCAACUGGUGGGUCAAUUGGUACUGCCCCUGCUGUUCUGCCUCGACCGAGACCACGACCGCAUCCUCGGCCUUUAGUGGGUGGCAAUGGUGGUCGUUCGCCACGCCCAGUAGCGCGCAUCCUCGCCAUCUGUGAGAGAAUAGAAUACAGAAGUUUAGUUCUCAUAUCAACAAAGUCGCACGACAAGAAUUUCAAGAGUAUGAAGUUUUUCCUAAAGGUUCUGCAGCCUCCCGAGGAUAAGUAUAGACGUCUCCGUACCGAUCUGCGAGACUCUAUUGAACCGCCUUAUGACUCGCAAAGCCUGGUAACCUAGGCUCUGAUACCAAUUUGUCAUGACCCAAACCCCGGUCGUGAUGGUUCGAGGAUAAGUACAGACGUCUCUGUCCCGAUCCGCGAGACUCUACUAAACUGGCUUAUGACUAGCGAGGCCUGGUAACCUAUGCUCUGAUAUCAACUUGUCACGACCCAAACCCCGGUCGUGAUGGCGCCAAACACCUUGUUAGGAAAGCCCGACCAUUUAAAUAUUCCCAGCCAAAUAAUUAACUUAAAUACCAUUUUUAGCUUAAAAUUCUAAGUUUGAUAACAAUAGAAAUACUGCGGAAAACGUAAUCAACAGUAAUAACAGCCCAAAGGAUCCGGCGUCACAAGUCUAAGCCUCUAAGUACACUGAACAGUAUCCUAAACUCAGAAAAUCUAGAUAUGGAAACAAAAGAUAGAUAGAGGAGAGGUCAGGUUCUGCGGACGCCAGUAGUUACCUUGACAACUCCGGUACUGAAUUGAAAAGCAGCAGCUGAUCGCAGCUAAGCCUCCGGGAUCCCUGUAUCUGCACACAAGGUGCAGGGAGUAGAGUAAGUACUUCCAAUUUAGUGAUUUAUAGCAAUAAAUAACAACUGAAUGUAAGAAAUCCGGUAAGAACACCAUACAGUUCUAAUAUCAACAGUAACUACAGUGAAUAAUGCUAAACAGGGGGGAAGAAUUUGAUAAAUACUUCUCUUUUCGUUCGAUUAGUUACUAACACUGCGGCGGCGUGCAGCCCGAUCCAAUACUAUAUAUGUAAUGCUGCGGCACGCAGCCCGAUCCAAUAUAAUAUAUAUUAUAAUGUUGCAGCGCGCAGCCCGAUCCAAUAUAAUAUAUAUAAUGUUGUGGCGCGCAGUCCGAUCCAAUAAUAUAAUACUGUGCUCACUGGGGUGUGUGCAAACUCCGGGGGGGCUCCUUCAGCCCAAGCGCUAUUAUACUACAGCGUGCAGCCCAAUCCAUAUAAUAUAUAUAGUGUUGUGGCGUGCAGCCCGAUCCAAUAUAAUAUAUAUAAUGUUGCGGCAUGCAGCCCGAUCCAAUAUAAUAUAUAUAAUAUUCUGGCGUGCAACUUGAUCCAAUAUAAUAUAUACAAUGCUGCGGCGUGCAGCCCGAUCGAUAUAAUAUAGUAUAUAUAAUGUUGCGGCUUGCAGUCCGAUCCAGUAUGUAUAUCAAAUACCCUCCCUACAGGGUCUUUGACCCCUCUCAGUCAAUAUAGACUUGGCCUCUCGGGCCCACUCAGCUAAGACAGGGUAUUCAACCCUAGGUAUUUCUCGUUUAGGGUGCAAAUUACUACGUCCAGUUAAUUCAUGAUUUACAGUCAAAGUCAUUACUGAUGGUAUGUGUUCAAUAGGUACAGUGAGGCCAAUCGGCUCAACAUUCUCCUUAGGAGUUCUACAUAUUGGCACAAGGCCCCAAACAUGGCAACUAGCCCAAAUAUACAGGUACAAACUCAGUCUCAGUCAAAAAGUGUUGUAAGUCAUCAAUCGGGAUGGAACAAGUCCGAAACCCCAGCAAGAACAUCACCACGCUCAUCAUAUGACGCGUGUUUUAUCUCAACAUAGCACCGCAUAGUGCAAAUACGGGAUUUCAAACCCUCAGUAUAUCAUUCAUAACCAUUACUCACCUCAAAUCGGACAAAAUCCUCGCUCUCCUUGUGCUUUCCUCGCAAAUCGACCUCCUCGAGUGCAGAAUAUGAUCAAAACCACAAGGAAUAUGUUAUAAUAGGAUCAUGGGACAUAACCCAAUAGAAAGAACUCGAAAAAACACCCAAAAAUACAAAGUUGACAAAACCCGAGCCCACUUUUGGAAAUAUUAGAAAAUUUACAUCACCGGAAUCCUCGUCUCGCCACGAGUCUGUACAUAUCAAAUUUACAAGAAUCGGAGUCCAUUUGACCCCUCAAAUCAACACUUUAAGCUCACUUGGGUUUCAAGCCCUAACCACAAUUUUUAACCUUUAAAACCUUGAAUUCGUAGUGCUUAAUCCAUAUUUUUACACUAUAAUAACAUACUCUAAGUCCACGAAUCCAUACCAGAUGAUUUCCCCCAAAAUCCCCUUCAAAAUCGCUCCCAAACUUGCCUUAGUCCGAGGUCCAAAUGUUCUUCUAUUUUCAAACUUGUCCGCAGACGCGGAAGUAACAGAAGCAGCUCACCUAAAAAUGCCAAAAACUCCUACAACCUCCGAUCAACCAUCCGGAAUUACCCCGAGGCCCCCGGGGCCUAAACCAAAACUACAGAUAUGAUCUAAUACCUUAUUCAAACUUGCUCGAUCCAUAAAAACACUAACAUUAACACCAAAAAUCACCAAAUUCCUCCAAUCCGAGUUUCUUAAGAACUUCUGAAAUGCACAUACGACCAGAAGUCCAACCAAACGACGUCGGAAUUACCUGAAAAUUUGCGGACAUAUCCAUAAUCACCUAGCGAAGCUAUUGCAACUCUCGGAACCCAUUUUGACCCCCGGAUCAAAAUCACACGUAUCAACCGGAGUUCGCCGAAAUUCAAACUUAGCCAAUUCAAGCCUAAUUCUACACCGGACCUCCAAAUUCAGUUUCGAUUUCACUCCCUAGUCAUAAAUCAACACCCGAAACUAGUCGAACCAUCAGAAAUCCGUUUCGAACCCUAUAACUCAUAGGUCAACAUACAAUUGACUUUUCCAAACUAGCCUUCUCUUAAAGAGAUUAAUUGUCUCAAUUCCAACCAAACUCUGUCCAAAUCACUUCAAACUCUACAAACACAUAUAAUGAAAUAUGUAGAAGCAUAAAACGGGGAAAACGGGGUGGUAAUUCACGUGACGACGGGCCGGGUCGUCACAUCAGUAGCUUAUUUAGGCUUAAAAUGCCUUAAGUUAAAUUUUUUACGUUUUCGGACCGAUAGUGAGAUUUUGAUAUCGGGGUCAGAAUUUGAUUGUGAUAGUUGGAAUAGCUCCAUAGAAAAUGAAGAAAACAGGACGGUAACUCACGUGACGACGGACCGGGCCGUCACAUCUCGUCAACCAAAUUUUUUAAAAACUAUGCUCUUGAACGGGACUCAACGAUAUAAUUUCUUUAUCAGUUGAUCUUCAUGUCAAGAGAAUAUAUAAGGAAAAGAUGGAAAUCCACGCCUAACAUAAAUCAAGGACGGUAUUCAUUCCCAUUAUUUGUGUUUCAACCUACAUUAGCAAAUCUUUAAUGGAAUACAAAUAAAAUUGCAAGUGAGCGCAAUUUUUCUGAAACAAUUUAUGUAAUUAAAUGAUCAAACUUAUAUCUAAGUCAUUCAUUUUGCAAUAUGUUUUCAAGAAAAAAUGCGGCCAUGCACAUGAGGGAAAAAAAUAAAUCUUUCAAGAAUGUAAUUUCAAGGCAAAAUAUGAAAUUGCAAAUGUGUUGAGAAUUACAUAGUUCACUAAAAGAUAGAUUAGUCAUUUACUAUACUUGACCAAUUAGAAUUAAGCAGGUGGUUAAGUUAGUUAGAGAAGUGUAUGGUAUCUAUACCCACGUGUAUCUGAUUCUUUAAGCUAUAAAAUGAUACCAUUUCUCAUUCAUCAUCUUCUUCUCUCUAACCCGUCUUCUUCUUCGCUACUGGGUUCUUAUGCUUCUUUCUCAUCUUGUUCUUAAUACAAUUUAAGGACAUCAAAACAAAUAGCUAACAACUUAUAACUUGUGGUUCGGUCUUAAUUUCACAAAAGCUUAUUAGUCAAUUACUAUUUGUGUUCUUGAAAUCUUGGUUGAUAAUGGCGAUCGAAGAUCUGUUGAAUCAUGCAGCUGUUCAACAUAAUCGUGCACCAGCUCCAACUCCCACUAUUGGGUUGAAUCAAGCACCAGGAAUAGAUUACAAUCACAUAUUAUUUUUGUCUCCUUCAUAUGUCAGUGAAAUUCAAAUUAUAUUAUUUCAAUUAACAGGUAUUGUAAACUAUUCUAUUUGGUUUAGAUCUAUACGAGUAGCUUUGCUAGAAAGAAACAAAUUGGGUAUGAUAGAUGGUUCGUGCACUAAAGAAAAAUUUCCAGAAAUAAUGUGAAAGUAUUGGAAAAGAGUUAAUGCAAUAGUUCUUUCUUGGAUCAUGAAUUAUGUAGUUAGUGGUUUGUUAGGCGGUAUCAUAUAUGCUUCAAGUGCUCAAGUUGUUCAGAAUGACUUGUAUAAAAGGUUUAACAAAGUAGAUGGUGAACGGUCGUUCAAUCUGCAUAAAGAAAUUGCAGUCUUAAGUCAAGGAACUUCUUCUGUGUCUGUCUACUUUUCAUGAUUGAAGAAUUUGUAGGAAGAGUUUGAAGCAUUGGUUCUUUCCUCUAGGUGUGACUAUGAAUAAUCAAAAGAAUUUAUGGUGCAUUUGCAUAAAAUGAAAUUGUUUUAACUCUUGGUGGUGUUAAAUGACUUGUAUAGUCAAGCAAGAAGUCAGAUAUUAUUAAUGAGUCUCAUGCCUACUGUCAAUCAGACCUGUGCCAUGAUAAUAAGUGAUGAACGUCAAAAAACAAGACCAGCCUCAACCGGAUUACUUGGUGCUAAUUCAACUCAUGUUACUGGAUAAUAUGAUGUAGCUAUGUACUCAAGAACAGGUGGAAAUCAAAGUUCAAUAAGAAAGUAAAUAAGUUGUUCAAUGUGAGUUUUGCAAACUCAGGGGUCAUAGCAAAGAAAAUUGUUACAAAAUUAUGGGGCAUUCUACAAAUUUUAAGCUCGGGAAGAAAGGGGGAGCUGGAAACUCUACUGCUUAUAAUACCCUGACUAAAUCUGCAGCUUCAAAAUAAUCAAAACUAAGGGAACACAAGGUUCAAUAAUGCAGUUGCCUAUAGUUGUUGUUGUUGUUGUUCUAAAUGAAGGCAACCUGCAGAACAAUAAGACUGCAAAAAAUGCAUUUGGCCAAUUCAUUGGGUCAAUGAAUACUGCAAACCAACCAAUGGGGCAGAAUGUGAGUAACCAACUUAAUUUACAAGGACAUGUGACCAGGUGCACCUUUACCAAAGAACAAAAUGAGCAGAUUCCUCAUAUGCCAAACAAUAAUGCUAGUCAAACAUCUAGUGCCAAUGUAAAAUGUAUAUCUAAGUAUUUUAAAGAAUAGAUAAUAAACACUAGGCUACUAACCAUAUGGUAAAAGACAUGGAUUUGUUGGAUAAGUCUAUUAUAAUUCAAAAUCAGUAUACAAAAGGAGUCUUUAUACCUAAUGGGGAUGUGACACAUGUUACACACACUGGAGCUAGUACCUUAGCAAGUAGAAUACAAUAACUAAUGUGUUUUACAUUCCUCAAUUAAAAUUCAAUUUACUCUCAAUUUUUAAAGUGAAAAAAGAGUUGAGAUGCUCAGUAGCAUUCUUCCCUGAUUUUUAUAUUUUCCAAGAACUCUUCAAUGGGAGGGUGAAAGUAAUUGUUAGGGAAGAUGAUGGUCUUUACAUACUAAGAAGUCAAGUAUCAGGAAACAAAAGUGAAGUCACACUUGCACCUAAUAAAAGUUUAGCUAGUACUGAUUUCAGCCAGCGACGAUAUAGAUCUUUGGCACGGAAGAUUUGAACAUGUAUCAACAACUGUACUUAGGAAGUUAGUACCUAUUAAACUAGAGCUUAUAAUAGAGAAAGUGAAUAAGUGUGUUCUGUGUUCAUGUGCAAAGCAAACAAUGCAACCAUUUUCUACUAGCUGCAUUGAAAUUAAUGCUUCAUUUGAUUUGGUUCAUGUAGGUUCAUUGGGGUCCAUAUAAAGUAGCAUUUGAUGGUAACAAGUAUUUUCUAACAGUGGUUGAUGAUUUUUCCAGAACUACGUAUUUGUUUUGCUCAAACUCAAGUCUGAUGUCUGCAUUAUUCUUCAAUAGUUCAUAAUGCGUGUAAGAGCCUAAUUUAACAAAAUAAUUAAAGUCAUCAGAAUUGAUAAUGACACUGCAUUUAUCAAUACAACAUGCAACACUAUGUUCAACAGUCCUGGGAUAAUUCAUCAGAAAACUUGUGAUUGCAUUCCACAACAGUAUGGUGUGGCUGAAAGAAAGCACAGACAUAUUUUAGAAGUCACACGAGCAAUUAGAUUUUAGGGAUACAUACCAAUAAAGUUUUAGGGAUAUUCUGUCCUAGUUGCAACCUAUCUGAUUUAUAGAAUGCAACUUCUAUACUUGCAGAAAAAUCUCUAUAUGAAAAACUUUAUGGGAAGAAGCCUUCACUAAAAUAUCUUAAAGUACUGGGAUACUUAUGUUAUGCUAUAAUAGUUCAAGAUCGGAAUAAACUGAUGCCUAGAUACAAGGCAGUCAUUUAUAUGGGAUAUGCUGCUACUUAGGAAGGAUAUCUUCUGUAUGACAUUAGUAACAAGGCCUUCUUCGUCAACACAAAUGUUGUCUUCAAAGAAUUUCAAAACUCUCAACCAAACCAAGGUUCAACCUAUAUUCAUGCCCAACAACUUUCAACAUGUAUAAGAUGAAUCAACCAACAUUCCAUUACUGAGGUAAGCCGGGAAACUGCCGAACAAAUUCACAGUGAUAUUCAAACAAAUGAACUUGGUGAUUUACAUAGUGGUUCAGAAGAAUCAAAUCAACAAAGUCCAACAUUCUCAUUUGACAUACAAUACACAACCACAGAAGCAUUUUAACAAAACACAACCUCUGAAAUAUCAACUGAGACAUUACCUUCAAAUGCUAUUCAUCCAGCUGUUCGAUAUAAUAGACUUUGAGGAAAUCAAAUAAAGACAAACGACCACCACUCUGGAUGAAAGACUUUGUGUAUGUAAAUAUUCACCACGAGCCUCCCUAUGCUCUCUUUAAGUUCAUCACUUAUGAAAACAUAUCUCCUAUAUAUAAAUAUUUUAUUGCUACAUCUUCCUCUGUCUUUGAACCUACAAACUACUCAGAGGCUAUCAAAGAUCCUAGAUGGAUAGAUGCCAUGAAUGCUGAGAUUAAAACCUUAAAAAAUAAUCAUACUUAGGAUAUAGUUCCACUACCUGAAGUUAAAACACCAAUAGGAUACAAGUGGAUUUACAAAAUAAAGCAUAAAUAUACAUGGGAGAUUGAAAGGUUUAAAACUAUAUUGGUAACAAAAUGAUUUAGCAUUAGAACUGAUUUCUGAAACAUGUAUGGGAGAAGCCAAACCUGUCAUAACACCCUGAGAUUUCAACAUGAAGUUAACUAUUAAAGAAUAUUAUUAAUAUUUCAAGAAAGACAAGAAUAUGAUCUCAAAAGAUGCAGAACUAGUGGAUCAAUUCAAAUCCUUAUUUGAAGCUUAUUGGCAAACUCUUAUACCUAACCAUGACUCGACCCUACAUCUCUUUUAGUGUUCAAAUAUUAAGUCUAGAAGACUAAAAAAUCUCAUAUGGAUGUUGCACUUAGAAUUAUAAAAUAUUUGAAGCAACAACCAGGCAUAUGAAUUCUACUAUCCAGCAAAUACAUCAAUGAUGUUACAACAUAAUGUGAUGGUGACUGUGUAGCUUGCCCCACUCUAGAAAAUCUGUCUGGUUAUUUGAUUAAACUUGGUGAGUCCUGGGUUUCCUGGAAAUCUAGGAAAUAGACUAAUGUCUCCAGAAAACUCAGCAGAAACUAAAUAUAGGAGUCUUGUAUCAAUAGUAGCAGUGUUACACCUCCUUUUUCCGCAGCCGUAGGGGUAAAGGAGUUUUUUCCAAUUAAAGGAAAAUCGAAACGAUAUUUAUUAUUAAGAUUCAAAGUCGUCACUUGGGAGGUUUAUGGUGUCCCAAGUCACUGGUUGAAUCCCGAAUCGAGGAAGAGAAUGACUCUGUUUAACAAUCCGCGAACCAGAUAUCCGGAUAAGGAAUUAUGUUAACCUGGGAGAAGGUGUUAGGCAUUCCCGAGUUCCAUGGUUCAAGCACGGUCGCUCAACUAUCAUAUUUAGCUUAUUUAACUGAUUUUAUACAUGUUGUUACUUUUGUACCGAUCUUAAAUUUUAAUCACUUUUAUUCAAGUUAUUAAAGCAAACUGAAUUAAUUAUUUACAACUAUUUGAAACUAGAUUUAACCUUAAUUACUAAAGCUUAUUCGAGAAUUUAAAACUUAAACGUUGACUCGUCUUGCUAAAACUCGCACCUAUUGGAUUAACGUUCUUAGCCUUGUUACAUUGAAUCACACAUUAAACGCAUCAAACCUACUGAUUCUACGAAAUUACUGACCUAUUAUAUUUGCCUAAUAUUUGCGGACCUUCUUUGCUAACAAGAUUCAAAGUGGACCCCAAGUCCCCCCUUUUAGUGGUCAAAGAAGACCUUUUAUUAUUACCCUUUUACUUUGCAUCAUUAUGCUUUGUCCCCCACUAACCCUUGUCCCCUCUUAUUUUAAUUAAAAGUUAUGGGUCCACAUUUAAUCGAUUCCCAAAAUACCCCCGAAAUUACUAUUCUACCCCCAUCAGCUAUAACCAAUUCACCUAAUCAAUUAACCAAGAUACGUCAAUUAUAACCAAUUCCUAAUCAAAUUCAAUCAACAAAUUCAAACUUUAUGAUGAACAACAAAGAACCAACUGAAAUUAUAUUGACUGAACAACAUUUUUAACAACAAACAUACUUUCAGAUUUAACAACAAUAACAAACAAGUAGAUUCAAAUCACUAAGUUUAGAUUCAAAUUAACUUAAAAUAACAAAUAAACAAAUUCAAAUCACAAAACUCAAUAAUCAAUUGAACCUCAAACUAGAUCCGACAAUAUUACAACCAAGAUGAAGGAUUCAAGUGAUUAAACUAACACACUUCUAUAUUAAAACUAAAUUCUUUUAAUGAAUAAAAACAAACUGAAAAAAUAAACAAGAAAUGAUAAACAACGAACAUGAAAAGAAUCAAAAAUAUACUCAUUUCCAAUCUAAGAAUAUCAAACAAAAUACGUACAGAAAUGAAACUUAAACCGACUAACCGGAGCAGAACAACGACGAACUCGAACGGAAAACUGUUGUUCUGCCCGGCAACCUCAAGUGGAACGGCACACACCCAAACGAAAGAGCUAGAGUCCAACAAACAGAUUUUUCGAGGACAAAACGAAAAGAAAUCUGUCCGGCAAAUGGAGUCACCAACAAUGAUGAUACUGAGCAAUGUAUCGAGAGACUGAGAGUCGCUGAAACUUGGACAUUUCCAGCGACUGGAGGAGUCGGUUUUGAGGGUUUUCAGUUAGGGUUUUAGGGUUUGGUUACUUGGUUAAGAGAACAAAAAGAAUCUGAAAAGUCAAAAGGGAG